AAUGUGCGGGAAAAAGUAUUUCCGGUUCAGUGGAGGUCAUGCUGGUAUGCUAGCAGCAAACUAGCAGCGUUUUAGUGUCGGCACGCUUUCGGGUGCAGCAAAGCGCAAAAAAGGAGAAAAAGGAGGAAACUAAGAAAGAAAACGACAGAAAGGGGUUUUACACAAGUUUCUCGAAUUUCAAAGCCCACAAGCCAGUCUCAGUUACCUUACAGUUAAGUGCUGCAACACCCUUCACACCGGAGACUCGGCGGCAGAGGCAGGUGAUUUUAGCCUCAACGUUACAUUAGCAGCGUCCUCUUCGACGACACAAAAACACGACCACAAGUAAUAAGGAUGGACAACGUCAGCACCAACAUCACAAGACAAGACUAUGGAAGACGAGGACACUGUUGCUCCAAAAACUAACACCGGAGCCUGCAGCCAUGUUGGAAUCAACAGCUCCCAAUUCCCCGGGUCUCGCUGUUAACGCUCAUCCUGCUUUCGGGGCUGAAUCAUUUUUUGCCUCAACCUCCUGCUCAGUUGUCCUGGUGGGUUUUCAGGUUACAAGCUGCAAGCUAAAAAUUAGGGUUAACAGAAACAGUAGAACAACACACAUAAAUCAGAAAUCACCGGUAAGCAAGGACUUCCAGUCCACGCUGAAUAACAAUUCUGUUCAGAGCGUGAAAGCAUGUGGAUCUAAAACAGAAAGUUGAAAAUAUGAUCAGUAGCCUCGUUGAGCCAGCUUAAAUCUCAUGAGCUCAGCUUUUGUUUUUAGUCUGAAAAACAUCCACCAAAGAAGCCAGACCAAUCAACAAACAACAGGGAGUGGUUUAGAUGAUUACAUUUGCCGCCUCCUCAAAGUCCAAAACAUACUGAGUAACUAUUUAAACUGGGGUUUGCAGAUUUAAAACAAAGCAUGAUUCAGCAACAGAAUGACCCAUUUUUCAUCACUAAUGUAUUCAGAAACUGAUUACAGCAGACAGUUAAAGAAAUAUCAGGCUUUGACAUGUUGUAGGCUACUACCUGCUUCAUAUGAUCUUUGUCCACGGCCCACUGAGCUGAAAUUUCACGUUGGUUAAUUGAUACUUUAUAACUAAAUUGAUACUAAAUUGAUUAGCUUAACAGUUCCUUGUUGUCAAAACAAGAAACGACUGGAGGUUUCACUGUCUAUUUUCACUGAUUGCCCCCCCCCAAUUCAAAGCAAACUGGGCCUAGUCAGACAGAGGGGUGGUGAGAUGGAUGGGAGGAGAAGGAGGGGGGAGGGGGGAGUACAGAGACAGAGAGGGGCUUCAUGUCAGCCUGCUCUCCUCAGUCACGGCCAGUUAGUUAAAGCAAACGCAGGCGGACCCUAGAGAGAACGCAGGGCGGCGGAGAGUGCCAAUCACGGCCGAGCCCUGGGCAUUCCCCGGUACAGCUCGCCUUGAGCAACUUUUUAUUAAUUUAAUAAACAUCCCACAGAGACGGAGCAGUAUGGACUUUCGUACCCUCUCAGACAACAGCACCGCUCAGGCCUAAUGAGAUGUGCUACUCACGCACACACAAGAUGUGCACACACCACCCUCUCUGAAAACACACAAGCAUGCAGCCCACAGGCUGGGGUUGCUCAGUAAACAUGGUGUCGAUGGGAGUCAUUAGAAGGGUCGGGCUCUCCUCUCGACUGAUGAGUAGCGGCUGCAACGGGAGGGACCAGGGGAGCAGGAGGAGGACAGACUGCGGCACACUAACAACCACAACCAUCAUCAUCAUCAUCACCACCACCACCAUCGCCAUGUGUAUCUGCUGCUCUGGGGAGAUGUUGCCUCCUGUCAAACAGUGGAAGGACCCCGGUUUGCCUGCAAUGUGAAGUUGUGUGUGUGUGUAAAUGUAUGUGACUGCUUCUGCUCGUGUAUGUGUGAGCAUCUUGCUGUCUACAUAAUUCCCUCCCAGUCUCAGCUCACUCUUCUUGGCUUCGACUGUUCACUCUUCUUUCUCUUCCUUCACCUCACCCUCUGUCUCCCCCCCUCCUCCAUUUCUCACUGUAUCACUCCAUAUAUUCAUGAAUUUCCUGUUUAUCAUGAAAACUUAUGCAUGAAAAUAGAGGGUGGGAUGGGGGAGAAAGGAAAAAAAACAAAAACAACAACAACAAAAAAAACCAAACAGGGUGAAUGUUGAUGGGGGUUUUGUCUUGUCUAGGUGCAGCGCUGCACCGGCAGCCCAGUCCUUGGGGGACGUACGCAAGAAGACCCCGAUUCCAUCUCCCUUUUCUUUUCUUUUAAUUUCCUUUCUAUUCUCUCCUUCCUUCCACCCACCCACCUACUGACUUCCUCCUUUCCUUUGUCCCCCCUCGCUUUAGCUUCCACCCCCCCCCUCCUCUUCCAACCCGCUGCCUUUCUCUUCUCUUCUCCAUCUCUCCUUCAGUGUCAAAGCCAGUUACAGGCAGAGGAGCUCUCCUUCUUAAAUAAUUCACAAGUUGAUUAAUAGACUCACAAGGGUAUAAUUAGGCAGGGGAGAGACAGUGGCUAGUGUAACCAGUACAGUGCUUAGGGGAAUUAGAGAGCGGGGUUAUUGAGGAAAUGGAGAGUACCAGAAAAAAAAAAGAAAGAAAGAAAAAGCACAAAAAAAAACGUGGCGGUUGCAGUAGUGGACUUGUAGAGGGGAUGA